CAGUACUAGCAGGUUGCUAGUUUUGUUUCCCCGCCUGAUGGAAACAGUGCUAUUUUCCCUUAUAACUGUUACUUUAUGUACUAGUCGUGAAUUUCCGAGUGUGCAGGUCAGACUGGGUGCACAUCCAGAUAACUGAAUGAUUUACCAACGGGUGUCACACCAGGCAAAGGUGUGAAUGGCUGUGCAGGAUGAGCACUGGGAUGAGGAGGCCAGCUUGGAAGAUGACUGCCUAGUGCUAAGCAGAAGCAGCAGCUUUCAGCCAGCAGAAAGCAGAAAACAAGGCAGCCCAGCUGCCCAAGAUCCAGUGAACAUACACAUCUGUUGGAGUACACAUCUCAGGAAUAAUGUCAUCAACACUCACCGGCUGUAGUCCACGAAAGCUUAUGCUCUAAUAAAUUUGUUAGUCUCUAAGGUG